rnacentral:RNase_MRP_RNA from 1 species
UGAUUCAUGUUUACCUUUGCACCAGGACACAAACGAGUUUCUUAUAACUCACAUUUUCCUGUGGGAAAGUCCCCGGACAUAUGGUAGAAAGUACCAAGAUGUAAAUUCUUAUCGCACUUCUUGAAUAUCCCCACUCAAUACAAGAUGAGGUAAAACUCAGAAUUAUAGUGGCGUUGAUACGAGAUUGCGAAUUGGUCACGUCACUUAAAGUUACGCGAGGAAUCUUUGGGAAGUAAUUUCUGAUAUUCAACACAAUGGGGCUCACAAAGCAAGAAUC